AUUGAACGCUGGCGGCAGGCCUAACACAUGCAAGUCGAGCGGAUGAAGGGAGCUUGCUCCUGGAUUCAGCGGCGGACGGGUGAGUAAUGCCUAGGAAUCUGCCUGGUAGUGGGGGAUAACGUCCGGAAACGGGCGCUAAUACCGCAUACGUCCUGAGGGAGAAAGUGGGGGAUCUUCGGACUUCACGCUAUCAGAUGAGCCUAGGUCGGAUUAGCUAGUUGGUGGGGUAAAGGCCUACCAAGGCGACGAUCCGUAACUGGUCUGAGAGGAUGAUCAGUCACACUGGAACUGAGACACGGUCCAGAGUCCUACAGGAGGCAGCAGUGGGGAAUAUUGGACAAUGGGCGAAAGCCUGAUCCAGCCAUGCCGCGUGUGUGAAGAAGGUCUUCGGAUUGUAAAGCACUUUAAGUUGGGAGGAAGGGCAGUAAGUUAAUGCCUUGCUGUUUUGACGUUACCAACAGAAUAAGCACCGGCUAACUUCGUG
rnacentral:rRNA from 1 species